rnacentral:rRNA from 1 species
UUCCGGUUGAUCCUGCCGGACCCGACUGCUAUCGGAGUGGGGCUAAGCCAUGCGAGUCUUACGUCUCUUGACUGCAAGAGGCGUGGCGACCGGCUCAGUAACACGUAGCCAACCUAACCUAGAGACGUGGACAACCCCGGGAAACUGGGAUUAAUCCACGAUAGAUCAAGGCUCCUGGAAUGGGCUUUGGUCCAAAAGGAUGGAUAAGCAUGUUUUGUCCAUCUGCUCUAGGAUGGGGCUGCGGCCGAUCAGGUUGUUGAUGGGGUAAUGGCCCACCAAGCCUAUAACCGGUACGGGCUUUGAGAGAAGGAGCCCGGAGAUGGACACUGAGAUAAGGGUCCAGGCCCUACGGGGCGCAGCAGGCGCGAAACCUUCGCAAUGCGCGAAAGCGUGACGAGGUUACUUCGAGUGCCACUCGCUGAGGGUGGCUUUUCCCAAAUCUAAAAAGCUUGGGGAAUAAGGGGAGGGUAAGUCUGGUGUCAGCCGCCGCGGUAAUACCAGCUCCCCGAGUGGUUGGGACAUUUAUUGGGCCUAAAGCAUUCGUAGCCGGUCUUGUAGGUCUCCUGUUAAACUCAACGGCUCAACCGUUGAACUGCAGGAGAUACCGCAGGACUAGGAGGCGGGAGAGGCGGACGGUACUCCAUGGGUAGCGGCAAAAUGUUCUGAUCCAUGGAAGACCACCAGUGGCGAAGGCGGUCCGCCAGAACGCGCUCGACGGUGAGGGAUGAAAGCUGGGGGAGCGAACCGGAUUAGAUACCCGGGUAGUCCCAGCCGUAAACGAUGCGAGCUAGGUGAUGGAAUGGCUACGUGCCAUUCCAGUGCCGCA